GAGGGAGGGGAGAGGAAGGGAGUGGAGGGUGCAGAGUGUCAGGAAGAGGAAGAGCGAGGAUGUAGCAGGGAAAGUACUGGUCUGUGCUGCGUGUGGGAAGUGACUUUAGUGGCGGCGUGAAGGCGAGGACACGAGUGAGGUGCUGGCAGGCUGACUGAGAACGUCAUUGUACGACAGAGUAGCCAGCUAAACAGCCGAGCCCUCAGCGUGCGCCUCCCGCCGGACAAGGGACCCUACAUCCAACACUACCUCAUUGAGAUCCACAACGAAGGCUCCUCCUACUCACUCCAAGCUUCUGAAAACCGCUUCGACACCCUUCCUUCGCUCAUCACCUAUUAUUCUCAGUGCUGCGAAGAGUUGCUGGCUCAGCUCAAGCUUCCUCGCACCAUCCAGGAGGCCAAGACCCGCCAUGAACUCGGCUCUCUCUCGCUGCUCGGACAAGGUGGUGCAUCACAGCGUCAGACUCACAGAGGAUGUGUAGCCGAGGCAAUGACACGUGGACGGCGCUGAUGGCGGCCAGAACCUCUUGGGCGUCUUGGUCACACACGGCCAGGCUGAGCACCCCCAGGUCCCGCCACUCCUGCAGCAGCUGUGUGCCGGCACCACUUAAGUGACCCAUGAACCUCUCAAGGAAGAUGAGCUUCGCGCGACGGACGCAAACUUUCGGAGCGGCGGCCAUGGUGGAGGGCUUGGGACACAGUUCUUCUCGCCAGCAGCCUGCAAAGAAAUUUCCCAAAAACAGUUGGCCAAAAUAAUAAUGGCAGAAGUAAGACUAAGCUUUGAAGAAAGAACAUGUCAUAAAGUGUUACUGGAGGCACGAAAAUGUCAAAGAAGUGCAAAGACAAUUCAGAAGACACUUUGACAGGGAUCCACCAAGGUGACGCGCCAUUAAUCGCAUCACAGCUAAAUUUGCAUCAACAACCACCACCACCACCACCACCACCACCACCACCACCACCAGCAUGGCAGUAGUAGCAGGAGUAGUGAAUGGUCACACGUAUGUGGUGACUUCUUGGACUAUCAGGCUGCCCUUGUAGUGUGUUGGACUAUCGGUCAACAAGGAGACCUGAAAGUUACGUGGUACAACUAUUUUGGUGAUAGUAGUGGCUGAGUUGCCGAUCCAAAGGCCUGGCUUAAGAAUAAUCCCGAGCUACCUGUACCAUCAAGAUCAAGAUCGAGCGUCCAUAUCAGAUGGUGAGUAAGUAGACAGCCACAACAGUGAGAUAGGAAAGGACAAGCAGUGUGGCGGUGUGUACAAGUGGCUUUGCCUU